CACACAGUGUUCGGGUGUAGUUCGUAACGGUUGAAGUGUGUAUGUUAGGAUGGUAACGUUAUAAUUCCUGCAUGAGUAGCAGAAAGUUGAAAUUGGGCAUGCUAUUUAUCCAAAAGUGAAAAUGCUGCCCUCUAUACCGUAAGAAGUUAAGGAUGAAGCGUGAAUUCAUGACAGGAAUAAGACGUGUGAAGUUUGGGAUAUCCUCCCUUCUACAAUAAGCAGCCAACAAGAGGACCUGAGCCCUAGGACCAUGCCUCAGGACUACCUGACAUGAUGCUCCAGUUUAAACUGUUCUGCCUUAUUAUUAUUUGACCAUGCUGGUCAUUUAUGAACAUUUGAACAUCUUGGCCAUGUUCUGUUAUAAUCUUCACCCGGCACAGCCAGAAGAGGACUGGCCACCCAACAUAGCCUGGUUCCUCUCUAGGUUUCUUCCAAGGUUUUGGACUUUCUAGGGAGUUGUUCCAAGCCACCGUGCUUCUACACCUGCAUUGCUUGCUGUUUGGGGUUUUAGGCUGGGUUUCUGUACAUCACUUUGAGAUAUCAGCUGAUGUACGGGCUAUAUAAAUACAUUUGAUUUGAUUUGAUUUUGAUUUAACUAAACAGAAUACUACUCUGUUACUGUAGGAAUGUAUGAAUCUUAUUAUAAUCAUAAUACUGAAUAUAAUGUGUGUAGUUUUAGUCAAGAAUUAGAACAAUGACUUUCUGUUCCUUGGUAUAAACGAAUGGAGCUAUCGUCAGACUGGCUGGAAUACUUUGUUCCUUACAGGACAUUCUGUCCCUACCCAGGGAGGAGAGAGACCUUGGGCUUGUAGUAUAUUGUUUAACAGGUGGAUGUGAGAAGGCUUGUGAACUAUAUUGCCAUUGUAUCUGAGAGACAUUUAUUACGAAAUGUGAGGUAUAUAAACCAAUGUACAUGGUAUUAUGACCAGAGCUCUCAGGAAAUAAACGCUACUGAUCUUUGUCUAUUUUA